CAAAAGGUAAUGAGAAAGAGGAGUACACAUAAGUCGCUUGAAAGAGAGAACCGCUCUUAGGCUGAAAGGUGGUUUCAAGAUAGAAAUGUAGAAGGUAGCUUUCGAACCGGAUUUCUGAACUGUGUAUAAUUAUAUAAUAAGGUCAAAGUAGGAAGUCACGGGGUGGUUCACGUUAAAGAACCGACGAGAUAUAUAUGAAAGAUUUCGUAUAUAACAAAGGUGGUACCGCGAUUAUUCGCCCUUUAC
rnacentral:ncRNA from 1 species